GUGCUCAUUUUGGCAACACAAACUAAAAUUGGAACAAAACAGAGAUUAGCAUGGCUCCCCCUACACAAGCAUGACAUACAAAUUCAUGAUGCAUUCCAAUUUUUU